AUUGAACGCUGGCGGUAGGCCUAACACAUGCAAGUCGAGCGGGAACUCCGUAAGUACUUGCUCUUACGGGAGGCAAGUGGGGGACUGUUCACAAUUGCAUCGGAAUCUGCUUCGUAGGGGAGGAUAACGUAGCAAAAGUUCCGCUAGUGCCGCAUACGACUUACGGGUGAAAUCGGGAGAGCUUGAGACCUUGUGCGAUUAGAUGAGCGGAAGUCGGAUUAGCUAGUUGGCAGGGUAAAGGCCUACCAAGGCGACGAUCCGUAGCUGGUCUGAGAGGAUGAUCAGCCACACUGGAACUGAGACACGGUCCAGACUCCUACGGGAGGCAGCAGUGGGGAAUAUUGGACAAUGGGCGAAAGCCUGAUCCAGCCAUGCCGCGUGUGUGAAGAAGGCCUUCGGGUUGUAAAGCACUUUAAGCGGGGAGGAAGGUUCGCGGCCUAAUACGUCGCGGAAUUGACGUUACCCGCAGAAUAAGCACCGGCUAACUCUGUG
rnacentral:rRNA from 1 species